AUUCUGGGUUAUAUGGCUGUGUGGAAUAACCCAAAGAAACAGAAGUGAGUCAACUGUGAAGGAACUGGAUAAGCUCUCCAAGUGUAAGGAUACAGCCCUAAAUACAAAAGUUAGAAUCAUCUAGACCACAGAACUUUGCAUUUCUAUUGUUGUGAAAACCAAUCAGGAAGAGAGUUGAGAUAAAGAGAAUCAAUUUGUCUGGAAUGUAGUGCUGAAGGAGACCUCUAUGGAUACAAUGGACAGGUAAAAGGAGGAGGAGAAGGAGGAGGAGGGGGUCCCCUCGAUUGCCUCAAGCUCACAAAGUUCCAAUGGCCUAUACUGAUUGUACCAAUGAGCAAACUGAACACUGAUACCACUAAAGUCCAUUUUCUGUUUCAUCUUCAUUUUAAAAGGAUUCUGAAAUGUAUAGGUCUUUAGAUGCUAUUGAACUAUACCUACCAACAUCCCUCAACAUUUGCUAUGUCAGUUAGGGCUGAUGGAAGCUGCUGUCCAACAACAUCUGCAGAGUUGUAUAUUCUCCAUUCCUUUUUUUGUAUGUCUCAAUCUCAUUCCUCCCUGGAUUAAAUAAUUUCAGACAACAUAGAUAACCAGUUUACCAUAUGAUCAAACAUUCUGUCAAUAGAUUUACUUAGUUAUCUAUUGUAAGUGAUGUAAUAGACUGGAAUCAGAAUGGCUUGUCAAUUUUGUGUUUUCAUCCAUCUAGCAGUAAUAAAUGCAGAGUUAAACAGAGAAAACACUUUCAUUCCAUAACAGCAGAUCCUGAUGCAACAUUAAAUAUGGAACCAAACAUGGAAUAUGGUUAAAUAUGAUUACCUGUAUUUCUGCAAACUGCAUGUGUUUUUAAGAAACCAGCAAAACAAGCCUAAGACAUUUCACUAUCUAAACAAAGGAUAAAAUUGAAUCUGCUGCCUGAAUUCCUUGUGCAGCCUUUGAUCAGAUCGAUAGCUGAAUCUCACAUUGGCAUUUUUGAUGGCGCCAAAUUUUUUCUCUCAAGCAGCAGGCAACUUAGGGGACAUGGCACUCAACUUCAAAAUCUUGAUGGUGAUUUCCAGUCCCUUGCACCCGAGUUGACUGCAUCACCCUGUCUAACAAUAUUGCUGAUCAUGGAAAUGAAUAUUUUUUCUACUUUUCCAUUCUGUAGUCAUCCUUUAUUUGAGUGUGCUUUCUGCUCAUCAUUCAUUCUAGUAAGAGAUGAAGGGAGAGCCAGUUUGAAUCACCUCUGACCUGAGGAGUCAACAUAUGGUAGUAUAAGUUUAUACAAUCCUUCUUCAGUUCAUUUUAAAGAAAAAGCACAUACCUUUGGGAAAUAUUUAAAAUUUUGUUGGAGGACAUAUAUCUUAGGUAUAUGUUGGACCUCUGCAAUAUAAGAAAUGUUCAGAAGCCCUAACUGAGAGAAAAUAUACUUAAUUUAUUUUAUUAGUCUUUUGUAGUUGUGUAUCAACAUAAAAUAACAAGGAACUAUGUAAUAUGGUCUUUCUGCUUCUGCUUUUCCACAACUUAUUAGCAUGCAAAUUGGGAGCCGUAAAGGGUGUAGCUCCAGGGAAGCUAAAUUAAAGCUUCUUGAAAAAACAAUUUUCUUGAGAAAACCUUAUGCAAUAGCUACUAGCUAAUCAAUCUGGUAGAGAAAUGGCCCAUCAUGAAUCUUAGAAUUGGACAAUUAAAAUUGCAUUCCUGUCAAAAUAAAACAGACAUAUAAAAACUAUACAGAUAUGUUUAAGACAAAACAAACAUUGUGAAAUAUUUUAAUUUUCAUCUUAAUUGCUCUAAUGCCUACUUUGCCUCAGGCUUCUUGUAUGAAAUAAUAAGUUGAAUAGUUUAAAUUCUAAAAUGGAAAAUGGGACAAACCUUGUUUGCCUAUAUUAUCUGCCACUAGAUAGCUUUUUAUGACAGGGGUUCUCAAACUUUUUCAGUCACAGAGCCCUUUUUGAAGCAAAGGUUUCUUGUACAGCCCCAAGAAAUUUUUAUAUAUUAUAUUAUAUCAUGAAGGAAAGGCACAGUCAGAUGGCCACCCAGACUUUGUAAUACUACUACUACUACUACUACUACUCCCUUCUGCCAUGCAGGAAAAGCACAAUCAAAGCACCCCCUGAGUGGUGGGAGGUAAAUAGCAUUUUGGAAGCAAGGAAGAAGAAAGGAAAAGACUUUUGGGGCUACGGCAAGGGAGGUGGGGAAGCAGGAAAGAGCAGAGAAAGCCGGAGGGAGUGAGAGGGGGAAGGAACCAUGGAGCCCCUCAGUAUGUUUUAUGAAUCCUCAAGAACGCUACAGAGCACACUUUGAGAACCCCUGCUUUGUGGUAUCAGUGCUCUGGAACAAGCAAGAACUGCUUAUAAUGUUUUGUUUUGCUUUGCUUUGUUUUGUUAGGUAACUUUUGCAUAUUCCACAAAUGAAAAAACCUACACUCUGAAGUGAAUUUGAUUUAAAAAGGUAAUGUCCUUACUUAGAAUGGACCUACAUUACAGCUGUAUUACACCUCAUAAUCAAAGGCUACCAAAAUACAGUUUUGUAUUUUGGUAGCCUUUGAUUAUCAACAUCUUGCUGUUACACGGUUGUCCAUGGACCACAUCCCAUUCAGGGCAGAAAGUGGGGGGAAUUGUCUUAUCAUAGUGUUGCCUGCCUUUCUGUUUUUAAGAAAAAUUGAUAAUUAAUUAAUCUUCAUCACACAUGAUGGACUCGAUCCAUUUCUAGACAAAUCCUCCAUUUAUUGAGCUAUCACGCAGGGAAUGUAAUCUUCACCCAUACCGCUUUCUCUUCUUUUUU